rnacentral:lncRNA from 1 species
GGGCUCAGUAUCUGAAAAAGUGUAUUAAAUAAGAAAUCUAAAAAAACUAUUCUGUCCAUUUUUUAUUUUUAUCGCACUUUUAUUUCUAUCGUAUUAUUAUUUUUUUAUUUAUCUUUUUAUUUAUUUUAUUUUUUUUUUUUUUUUGACAUAUAAAUAGGCACACCGACAAAGGAACAAAUGAAAAUAAUGAAUCCAAAUUAUGCAGAUGUAAAAUUCCCUGAUGUUAAACCAAAGGACUUAAAAAAGGUUUUUCCCAAAAGCACAUCAGAGCAUGCUAUAAAUUUAAUUUCACAAUUUUUAAAAUACGAACCAUUAAAAAGGCUUAAUCCUAUAGAGGCAUUGGCAGAUCCGUUUUUUGACGAGCUACGGGAUAAUCACAUUAAGUAAAAUUUAAUAAUAGUUUAAACAAAUACAUACACAUAUAUGUUUGCACGUUUGUUUAUAUAUAUAUUUUUUUUAUCAUCUAUCCUUUAAAUGUGUACAUAACUAUGCUCUUAUUUAUUUUUGUUUUGCUCUUAAGGUUACCUACAUAUAUCGAAAAAUUGCCAGAGCUGUUUAAUUUUUCGGAGGAAGAAAUAAAA